UCUCCGUUGGUGAACCAGCGGAGGGAUCAUUACCGAGUUUUCAACUCCCAAACCCUUAUGUGAACCUACCUAUCGUUGCUUCGGCGGACUCGCCCCAGCCGGACGCGGACUGGACCAGCGGCCGCCGGGGACCAUCAAACUCUUGUAUUAUCAGCAUCUUCUGAAUACGCCGCAAGGCAAAACAAAUAAAUUAAAACUUUCAACAACGGAUCUCUUGGCUCUGGCAUCGAUGAAGAACGCAGCGAAAUGCGAUAAGUAAUGUGAAUUGCAGAAUCCAGUGAAUCAUCGAAUCUUUGAACGCACAUUGCGCCCGCCAGCAUUCUGGCGGGCAUGCCUGUUCGAGCGUCAUUUCAACCCUCGACCUCCCUUUGGGGAAGUCGGCGUUGGGGACCGGCAGCACACCGCCGGCCCUGAAAUGGAGUGGCGGCCCGUCCGCGGCGACCUCUGCGUAGUAAACCAACUCGCACCGGAACCCCGACGUGGCCACGCCGUAAAACACCCAACUUCUGAACGUUGACCUCGAAUCAGGUAGGACUACCCGCUGAACUUAAGCAUAU
rnacentral:rRNA from 1 species